AGGACGAACGCUGGCGGCGUGCUUAACACAUGCAAGUCGAGCGGAAAGGCCCUUCGGGGUACUCGAGCGGCGAACGGGUGAGUAACACGUGAGUAAUCUGCCCCUAGCUCUGGGAUAGCUCCGGGAAACCGGGAUUAAUACCGGAUACGACCACCUUAGACAUCUUUUGUGGUGGAAAGAAUUUCGGCUAGGGAUGAGCUCGCGGCCUAUCAGCUUGUUGGUGGGGUAACGGCCUACCAAGGCGACGACGGUAGCCGGCCUGAGAGGGCGACCGGCCACACUGGGACUGAGACACGGCCCAGACUCCUACGGGAGGCAGCAGUGGGGAUAUUGCGCAAUGGGCGAAAGCCUGACGCAGCGACGCCGCGUGGGGAUGAAGGCCUUCGGGUUGUAAACCCCGUUUCAGCAGGGACGAAGCGAAAGUGACGGUACCUGCAGAAGAAGCGCCGGCUAACUACGUGCCAGCAGCCGC
rnacentral:rRNA from 1 species